CAGGUCACUGAACAAUGGGUCGGUUGGAGUUUAGAGGGAGGUGGCGGUUCAAGCUCCGGCCAAGCGUGCCCAGGCGUUGCACCUGUGCC